rnacentral:rRNA from 1 species
UUAAGCGACUAAGCGUACACGGUGGAUGCCCUGGCAGUCAGAGGCGAUGAAGGGCGUGCUAAUCUGCGAUAAGCGCCGGUAAGGUGAUAUGAACCGUUAUAACCGGCGAUACCCGAAUGGGGAAACCCAGUGUGACUCGUCACACUAUCAUUAACUGAAUCCAUAGGUUAAUGAGGCGAACCGGGGGAACUGAAACAUCUAAGUACCCGAGGAAAAGAAAUCAACCGAGAUUCCCCCAGUAGCGGCGAGCGAACGGGGAGGAGCCCAGAGCCUGAAUCAGCAUGUGUGUUAGUGGAAGCGUCUGGAAAGGCGCGCGAUACAGGGUGACAGCCCCGUACACAAAAGCGCAUGUGCUGUGAGCUCGAUGAGUAGGGCGGGACACGUGGUAUCCUGUCUGAAUAUGGGGGGACCAUCCUCCAAGGCUAAAUACUCCUGACUGACCGAUAGUGAACCAGUACCGUGAGGGAAAGGCGAAAAGAACCCCGGCGAGGGGAGUGAAAAAGAACCUGAAACCGUGUACGUACAAGCAGUGGGAGCACAGGUUUACCUGUGUGACUGCGUACCUUUUGUAUAAUGGGUCAGCGACUUAUAUUCUGUAGCAAGGUUAACCGAAUAGGGGAGCCGGAGGGAAACCGAGUCUUAAUUGGGCGUUAAGUUGCAGGGUAUAGACCCGAAACCCGGUGAUCUAGCCAUGGGCAGGUUGAAGGUUGGGUAACACUAACUGGAGGACCGAACCGACUAAUGUUGAAAAAUUAGCGGAUGACCUGUGGCUGGGGGUGAAAGGCCAAUCAAACCGGGAGAUAGCUGGUUCUCCCCGAAAGCUAUUUAGGUAGCGCCUCGUGAAUUCAUCUCCGGGGGUAGAGCACUGUUUCGGCUAGGGGGCCAUCCCGGCUUACCAACCCGAUGCAAACUGCGAAUACCGGAGAAUGUUAUCACGGGAGACACACGGCGGGUGCUAACGUCCGUCGUGAAGAGGGAAACAACCCAGACCGCCAGCUAAGGUCCCAAAGUCAUGGUUAAGUGGGAAACGAUGUGGGAAGGCCCAGACAGCCAGGAUGUUGGCUUAGAAGCAGCCAUCAUUUAAAGAAAGCGUAAUAGCUCACUGGUCGAGUCGGCCUGCGCGGAAGAUGUAACGGGGCUAAACCAUGCACCGAAGCUGCGGCAGCGACGCUGAUGCGUUGUUGGGUAGGGGAGCGUUCUGUAAGCCUGCGAAGGUGGCCUGUGAGGGUUGCUGGAGGUAUCAGAAGUGCGAAUGCUGACAUAAGUAACGAUAAAGCGGGUGAAAAGCCCGCUCGCCGGAAGACCAAGGGUUCCUGUCCAACGUUAAUCGGGGCAGGGUGAGUCGACCCCUAAGGCGAGGCCGAAAGGCGUAGUCGAUGGGAAACGGGUUAAUAUUCCCGUACUUGGUGUUACUGCGAAGGGGGGACGGAGAAGGCUAUGUUGGCCGGGCGACGGUUGUCCCGGUUUAAGCGUGUAGGUGUGUGUUCCAGGUAAAUCCGGUUCACUUUAACACUGAGGCGUGAUGACGAGGCACUACGGUGCUGAAGCAACAAAUGCCCUGCUUCCAGGAAAAGCCUCUAAGCAUCAGGUAACAUCAAAUCGUACCCCAAACCGACACAGGUGGUCAGGUAGAGAAUACCAAGGCGCUUGAGAGAACUCGGGUGAAGGAACUAGGCAAAAUGGUGCCGUAACUUCGGGAGAAGGCACGCUGACACGUAGGUGAAGUGAUUUACUCACGGAGCUGAAGUCAGUCGAAGAUACCAGCUGGCUGCAACUGUUUAUUAAAAACACAGCACUGUGCAAACACGAAAGUGGACGUAUACGGUGUGACGCCUGCCCGGUGCCGGAAGGUUAAUUGAUGGGGUCAGCGCAAGCGAAGCUCCUGAUCGAAGCCCCGGUAAACGGCGGCCGUAACUAUAACGGUCCUAAGGUAGCGAAAUUCCUUGUCGGGUAAGUUCCGACCUGCACGAAUGGCGUAAUGAUGGCCAGGCUGUCUCCACCCGAGACUCAGUGAAAUUGAACUCGCUGUGAAGAUGCAGUGUACCCGCGGCAAGACGGAAAGACCCCGUGAACCUUUACUAUAGCUUGACACUGAACAUUGAGCCUUGAUGUGUAGGAUAGGUGGGAGGCUUUGAAGUGUGGACGCCAGUCUGCAUGGAGCCGACCUUGAAAUACCACCCUUUAAUGUUUGAUGUUCUAACGUGGACCCGUGAUCCGGGUUGCGGACAGUGUCUGGUGGGUAGUUUGACUGGGGCGGUCUCCUCCUAAAGAGUAACGGAGGAGCACGAAGGUUGGCUAAUCCUGGUCGGACAUCAGGAGGUUAGUGCAAUGGCAUAAGCCAGCUUGACUGCGAGCGUGACGGCGCGAGCAGGUGCGAAAGCAGGUCAUAGUGAUCCGGUGGUUCUGAAUGGAAGGGCCAUCGCUCAACGGAUAAAAGGUACUCCGGGGAUAACAGGCUGAUACCGCCCAAGAGUUCAUAUCGACGGCGGUGUUUGGCACCUCGAUGUCGGCUCAUCACAUCCUGGGGCUGAAGUAGGUCCCAAGGGUAUGGCUGUUCGCCAUUUAAAGUGGUACGCGAGCUGGGUUUAGAACGUCGUGAGACAGUUCGGUCCCUAUCUGCCGUGGGCGCUGGAGAACUGAGGGGGGCUGCUCCUAGUACGAGAGGACCGGAGUGGACGCAUCACUGGUGUUCGGGUUGUCAUGCCAAUGGCACUGCCCGGUAGCUAAAUGCGGAAGAGAUAAGUGCUGAAAGCAUCUAAGCACGAAACUUGCCCCGAGAUGAGUUCUCCCUGAGACUUAGAGUCUCCUGAAGGAACGUUGAAGACGACGACGUUGAUAGACCGGGUGUGUAAGCGCAGCGAUGCGUUGAGCUAACCGGUACUAAUGAACCGUGAGGCUUAACCUU